rnacentral:rRNA from 1 species
UACGAAGGGGCUAGCGUUGUUCGGAAUCACUGGGCGUAAAGCGCACGUAGGCGGAUUGUUAAGUCGGAGGUGAAAUCCUGGGGCUCAACCCCAGAACUGCCUUCGAUACUGGCGAUCUUGAGUGUGGAAGAGGUUGGUGGAACUCCGAGUGUAGAGGUGAAAUUCGUAGAUAUUCGGAAGAACACCAGUGGCGAAGGCGGCCAACUGGUCCACUACUGACGCUGAGGUGCGAAAGCGUGGGGAGCAAACAGG